CAACAGAGGGGAGCAAGAAGGGAUAAAACCCUAGUUUAUCAAAAUCCACAAGAACCAAGUGAAAUUUUAUGAAAAUCGAAAGCAUAAACAACGAAUUUUAAGCUCCUACAUCUGUUCUUCGAAGUGGCGUAAAAGAAGAAGGUUCAAAUUCCAAGAAAUCGGAAGGAUCACAAGACCGAGGUAAAACCUCGACUUAGGCGAUUGGACGGUUUGAAACGUGCACACUUGAUUCAUGUCCGCCUUACGCUUCCGUUACAAGUUAAUUUGAUAUGGGUUAAAGUUUUGGUUAAAUGUAUUAAAACUUAUGUAGUAAGUCGAUGUCCUUGUUGUAGGGUUAGAACUUAGUAAUUGUAGUCUUGUCGUGUUGAUUAUAAACCUUGUCCGUCGUUGAUUUUGUCGAAAAAUGUUAA